GGCAGCGGGAAGGGAGGCCCCGGGCCCGGGAGGGCUCCGAGGGCGAGCCGGCCCCGCACGCGGGGUCGCCGCGCUGAGCCCGGUCUGAUGGCGGCGGUGGCUGGGGCUCGGUGCGGUUUACGCGGCGGUGUGUUCGGCUGAAGGGAGAUUUAAAGAUCUGUAAUGAAGUCUCACGCUCGGCUGCUCGGGCGCUUAUGGAAAAGCGAUUGGCCGGGUCCGAUAAAUCAAUCCUGCUCCUCCAGCCUCUGUCCCAUUCGUUUCUGUGCUCCAGAAUUUUCUCCCUUGCGGAAGGAACCACAUCUAACCGGGUGCCGCUUGGAAACGCAUCGUGCCAGAAGCCACCGUGCUAAUUAUAGAUUAAUGGGAGGGGACACCGCGCAGCACCCUCAGCGCCGUGACUCGCUGGCAGCAGGCUUUGCUCGGCGAGGUGAGGUUAAAGGCACGGGAAGCGGGCUGGGAGCUCCGAGCUCUGCACCCCCGCCCGGCCCCGCAGAGGCUUAACAA